GAACGGUCGCGCGCGAUUGUGCCGCAAGGUAUUUGCGUGAGGAAAGUCCGGGCUUCAAAGGGCAGGAUAGCUGAUAACGUCAGCCGCGGGUAACCGCCGGGAAAGUGCAACAGAAAUAAACCGCCGUUUUACGGUAAGGAUGGAAAGGCGAGGUAAGAGCUCACCCACUCUCAUGGUAACAUGAGUUUGCUGUAAACCCUAUCCGAAGCAACAUCCGGAAAGAAGUGUCUGCCCGACCUUUUCCGUAUGGAAAAUAUUCCGGAUGGCAUGUCGAAAGGCAGAGCCAUGCGGCGACGCAUGGCAAAGAUUGAUGACCGUUCAAGACAGAACCCGGCUUACAGACGGAG
rnacentral:RNase_P_RNA from 1 species